UACAUCUUGUGUGUUAAAAUAAAACAUGUUGCAUCAUUUUAAGUGAAUCUGAAACCUACAUAUUGGUAGUUGAGUAGUUAAUGAGACCUCUAAGGGAAGAUUGAGUAAAUCUAAAUGAACUAGUCCUAUUAGCGUCAUUUUAACUAUAAAUGAAGUGUUGAUGUGUAGAUUAAUGUUUUCUGUAAGUAAUUAUUUGGCUAAUAUUGCAGAUACCACAGUUUCGCACAAUUUCAGGGACUGGAAUUAAGUGUGCUUCAAAAUUGGUUCAAUUACCUGCUGAUGAACUUGCUCGGCUACAGAAAACAGCACCUAAGACUGAACCAGAGUCUCAAGAUAACAUUG
rnacentral:lncRNA from 1 species